rnacentral:rRNA from 1 species
GAUGAACGCUGGCGGCGUGCCUAAUACAUGCAAGUCGAGCGAACGGACGAGAAGCUUGCGUCUCUGAUGUUAGCGGCGGACGGGUGAGUAACAAGUGGAUAACCUACCUAUAAGACUGGGAUAACUUCGGGAAACCGUAGCUAAUACCGGAUAAUAUUUUGAACCGCAUGGUUCAAAAGUGAAAGACGGUCUUGCUGUCACUUAUAGAUGGAUCCGCGCUGCAUUAGCUAGUUGGUAAGGUAACGGCUUACCAAGGCAACGAUGCAUAGCCGACCUGAGAGGUUGAACGGCCAACCUGGAACUGAGACACGGUCCCGACUCCUACGGGAGGCAGCAGUAGGGAAUCUUACGCAAUGGGCGAAAGCCUGACGGAGCAACGCCGGGUGAGUGAAGAAGGGCUUCGGAUCGUAAAACUCUGUUAUUAGGGAAGAACAUAUGUGUAAGUAACUGUGCACACCUUGACGGUACCUAAUCAGAAGGCCACGGCUAACUACGUG